rnacentral:rRNA from 1 species
AUUGAACGCUGGCGGCAGGCCUAACACAUGCAAGUCGAGCGGAUGAAGGUAGCUUGCUCCUGGAUUCAGCGGCGGACGGGUGAGUAAUGGCUAGGAAUCUGCCUCGUGGGUGAGGAGAACUGCCGGAAACGGGCGCUAAUACCGCAUGCUGCUUGUGCCGCAAAGGGGGGGGUCGUGGGAUCUCCCGCUAUCAGAUACUCCUAGGUCGGAUGAUCUAGUCGGUGGGGUAAAGGUCUACCAAGGCGUCGAGCCGUAACUGGUCUGAGAGGAGGAUCAGCCACACUGGAUCUGAGACACGGUCGAGACUCCUACGGGAGGACGCAGUGGGGAAUAUUGGACGAUGGACGAAAGCCUGAUCCAGCCCUGCCGCGUGUGUGAAGAAGGUCUUCGGAUUGUAAAGCACUUUAAGUUGGGAGGAAGGGAAGUAAGUUAAUAACUUGCUGUUUUGACGUUACCAAAAGAAUAAGCACCGGCUAACUUCGUG